ACAUCUUUCUACACAUUACACUCUACACAGCGGUUUGCAACUGUUUAAAUAAGCCUAUGCAGGAGCGGCUGGUGACUCCAAAAGUAAGCCAAAACCACACACUUCCUAUCUAUAUUAAUAUCUGCCAUUUUAUUUAUCUAUCAUCCAUUGGUUAUAUGUAGACUGCACUGCAUAAUAAACUCUCAUAAGAUCUACGUUCGGUUCGCGUGGGUGUUUUGCGUUAUAUGCAGAAUACUCUGAAUGAUAGCGUGCGGAAGGCACAGGAUCUAAAGUGUCAGCUGCUGAUUAAAAGAUGAAUGAAUAAAAGAGGAUGGGUGAAAGGGAUAGGAAUGAUAGUGUAGCGUGAACCAAAUGCUUUCAGUAGCAGUAGCAGCGGAUUUUCCCUAGGAAAAAUCCUACCCUAAAGAGGGGGGUACUGUAACGUUGUACGUUUUUAUGCUCUAAUUUCUUCGAAUCUAUAGACACUUACGAGUAUAUCGAGUUGAAGUUCUAUAAAAUACUCGUCUUUAUAUUGGAACGCGCCGCACGCCCGAACUCACGUCUCGGAAACCGGUUCCGUUGGCCGAACCCCUGCCACCGUUCGAACUGCGAGCGACGCGUCACGCGAGUCACCGAUGCCAGUGCGACCGGGGAAAGGAUUAUUACCGACCUACCGCGAACAGCUGAGCGCGUACUCUCGAGUUCUAUUUUUUCACAGUGAGGCCCUAAUACCGGCCACUUAAAAUAUAAAACUUUAAAUAUAUCUACUAAUUAAAUUCAGUGAACCCCAUAUCGGGGUUCAAGUUCAAGUUCAAGUUCAAGUUCAAGUUCAAGUCCAAGUCGAGUCUCCAGCUUCAAGCCUCCAGUUCCUGCUCAAGUACUUGUAAGCCACCGAGGCUGCGUUUUCUACUCUUCUUCUUCCUCUUCGUUCCUGCCUAAUGUCCUUGACGCCGUCAUCUAUCGACCGUCAGGAUUAGAAACGUUCCUGCCGAAGACCUUGACUGCCCUUGAGUCUCCGUCGGUCAGCUGCUACCCGGGAAGGAGACCGCGGGCCCCUACACAUCCGGAUACUGAGGCAGGAUAGUGGUGUUUCUCUAGCGACAUUCAAUUCCUCGCGCGCUCGAUAUUUUAAAACCACCCCCAGCUCAACCGACUAAUUGUUUUUUUCUCAAGAAUAAAUUGUUAAUCUCAU